rnacentral:rRNA from 1 species
CAGUAGCCGCGGUAAUACGAAGGGGGCUAGCGUUGUUCGGAAUUACUGGGCGUAAAGGGCGCGUAGGCGGCUUGUACAGUCAGAUGUGAAAUUCCUGGGCUCAACCUGGGGACUGCAUUUGAUACGUACGGGCUUGAGUGGAGAAGAGGGUUGUGGAAUUUCCAGUGUAGAGGUGAAAUUCGUAGAUAUUGGAAAGAACACCGGUGGCGAAGGCGGCAACCUGGUCUUUAACUGACGCUGAGGCGCGAAAGCGUGGGGAGCAAACAGGAUUAGAUACCCGCGUAGUCCCUGUCUCUUAUAC